GUGCCCGUGGCUCAAAGGAGAAGGGCACUGGCCUCAUAUACCAGAGGUGGCAGGUUCAAAUCCGGCCCCGGCCA
rnacentral:tRNA from 1 species